CGCGGCCUAUCAGCUUGUUGGUGGGGUGAUGGCCCACCAAGGCGGUGACGGGUAGCCGGCCUGAGAGGGUGGGCGGCCACACUGGGACUGAGACACGGCCCAGACUCCUGCGGGAGGCAGCAGUGGGGUGUAUUGCACAAUGGGCGGAAGCCUGAUGCAGCGACGUCGCGUGAGGGAUGGAGGCCUUCGGGUUGUGAACCUCUUUCUCCGGUGGUGAAGGCCCUGUCCGUUGCGGCGGGGUUGACGGUAGCCGGGUAUGAAGCGCCGGCUAACUACGUGCCAGCAGCCGCGGUGAUACGUAGGGCGCGAGCGUUGUCCGGAAUUAUUGGGCGUGAAGGGCUUGUAGGCGGCCGGUCGCGUCCGCCGUGAAAUUCUCCGGCUCAACCGGGGGCUUGCGGUGGGUACGGGCCGGCUGGAGUGCGGUAGGGGAGGCUGGAACUCCUGGUGUAGCGGUAGAAUGCGCAGAUAUCAGGAGGAACACCGGUGGCGAAGGCGGGUCUCUGGGCCGUUACUGACGCUGAGGAGCGAAAGCGUGGGGAGCGAACAGGAUUAGAUACCCUGGUAGUCCACGCCGUAAACGUUGGGCACUAGGUGUGGGGCCCCGCUCGGCGGGGGUCCGCGCCGCAGCUAACGCAUUAAGUGCCCCGCCUGGGGAGUACGG
rnacentral:rRNA from 1 species